GAUGAACGCUAGCGGCAGGCCUAACACAUGCCAGUCGAGGGAGAGGUUACCUUCGGGUAACCAAAACCGGCGCACGGGUGCGUAACGCGUAUACAAUCUGCCUUUCACAUAGGGAUAGCCCGAAGAAAUUUGGAUUAAUACCUAAUGGUAUAUAAGAGCGGCAUCGUUUUUAUAUUAAAGCUACGGUGGUGAAAGAUGAGUAUGCGUUCUAUUAGCUAGUUGGAGAGGUAACGGCUCCCCAAGGCGACGAUAGAUAGGGGUUCUGAGAGGGAUGUCCCCCACACUGGUACUGAGAUACGGACCAGACUCCUACGGGAGGCAGCAGUGAGGAAGAUUGGACAAUGGUCGGAAGACUGAUCCAGCCAUGCCGCGUGCAGGAUGAAGGUCCUAUGGAUUGUAAACUGCUUUUGUAAGGGAAGAAUAAGGAGUAUGUGUACUUUGAUGACGGUACCUUACGAAUAAGCAUCGGCUAACUCCGUG
rnacentral:rRNA from 1 species